GGGGGGGUAGCUCAGUGGGUAGAGCGCAGCGAAUCUGCUUUGUGUUUUUCCACCUAAAAUCACCUAAAGGUGGUAGUCGCUCAGCGAAACGAAAACCUAAAGCAACGAGUGAUUCCUGAGGUCCUGGGUUCGACACCCAGUUCUCCCA
rnacentral:tRNA from 1 species